CGCAUCUGUGCAUGCAGCAUAUCAAUAAGCGGAGGAAAAGAGGGCUAUUACCUACGCUUAGGAUGUUGACGAGACUGUCGAUCUCAUCUAUACAUGACUCUGUGCAUAUCAAUAAGCGGAGGAAAAGAAACUAACAAGGAUUCCCCUAGUAACGGCGAGUGAAGCGGGAAGAGCUCAAAUUUGAAAUCUUAAAGGGUUUCCCUUUACGAAUUGUAGUUUAAAGAAGUGUUUUCUGUUGAGGUUUUGGUAAAAGUUCUUUGGAAUAGGACAUCAUAGAGGGUGAGAAUCCCGUAUUCGACCUUUACUUUCAACUUUGUGAUAUACUUUCAAAGAGUCGGAUUGUUUGGGAAUGCAGUCCAAAAUGGGUGGUAAAUUUCAUCUAAAGCUAAAUAUUGGCGAGAGACCGAUAGCGAACAAGUACCGUGAGGGAAAGAUGAAAAGAACUUUGAAAAGAGAGUUAAACAGUACGUGAAAUUGUCAAAAGGGAAGCGUUUGACACCAGUGUUGUUUUUCUGAAAAUCAAUUAAAGAACUGUUUAUGCUAAGCUGUUUAGACUUUAUCAGCUAAUCUGUUUAGUUUUGAGCUUUUCUUUAAUGCACUUUUCAGUUAACAAGUCAACAUCAAUUUCUUUUGCUGUAAAAAAGCUUGAGGAAGGUGGCUUGAGAUUCGUCUUAAGUGUUUAUAGGCCUCUUGCCUAUGCAGUCGGAGAGAUUGAGGUCUGCAGCGUAGAUCCUUCGGGGCUAAAUGCAUUUGUGCUAAGUUAUAGCAUUUUAUAGACAACUUGUUGACUAUGAUUUGUCUUGUAGCUUACUCGCUUAUGUUAUUUUACCUACGCUUAGGAUGUUGACGCAUGAGAUAUACGC
rnacentral:rRNA from 1 species